CGCGCAGGUAGAAAAGGUGUAUUGUGCAGCUUAGGCCUGCAUUGAUUUUUAGCGAUUCAAAUUCGCUUUUACGGGA
rnacentral:tRNA from 1 species